rnacentral:misc_RNA from 1 species
AUAUCCUGGAGGAAGAGCAUGCCGAUAAUGACAAUCUUUACCACCAUUUGGGCAGACCCAAAACCAGCCGUAUUGUUUCUUCUCCACAGCUUCCAGAAAGUAUUUGCAAACAAUUUCAGUAGGUUUGUUCUGAUUAUACUCCGUUUUCUUUGACUCCACAACCUUUUCCAAGGUCUCUUGAUCCCAAUCCUCCAUCGUUUCUUGGUCACGCUUAUCACUAUAAAUAUCAAUCUUUUCUCCUUUUCUCUGAACAUUCAAAUCGUGGGAGAAUUUGCAUUUGAAACCUUUAGCACACUGCCCCACUUUAUAGAACUCGCACAAUAUAGACUUGGGAUCAACACCAAUAGGAACUUUGGGCUGGCUAACAGCAACCUUGAACAAAUCGUUCAGCUCCUUCUCUUUGGCCUU